rnacentral:tRNA from 1 species
GCGGACGUGGCGAAACUGGCAGACGCGCAGGCUUGAGGGGCCUGUGGGAGAAAUCCUGUGGAGGUUCAAAUCCUCUCGUCCGCACCA